rnacentral:rRNA from 1 species
GAUGAACGCUGGCGGCGUGCCUAAUACAUGCAAGUCGAGCGAACAGACGAGGAGCUUGCUCCUCUGACGUUAGCGGCGGACGGGUGAGUAAAACGUGGAUAACCUACCUAUAAGACUGGGAUAACUUCGGGAAACCGGAGCUAAUACCGGAUAAUAUAUUGAACCGCAUGGUUCAAUAUUGAAAGACGGUUUUGCUGUCACUUAUAGAUGGAUCCGCGCCGCAUUAGCUAGUUGGUAAGGUAACGGCUUACCAAGGCAACGAUGCGUAGCCGACCUGAGAGGGUGAUCGGCCACACUGGAACUGAGACACGGUCCAGACUCCUACGGGAGGCAGCAGUAGGGAAUCUUCCGCAAUGGGCGAAAGCCUGACGGAGCAACGCCGCGUGAGUGAUGAAGGUCUUCGGAUCGUAAAACUCUGUUAUUAGGGAAGAACAAAUGUGUAAGUAACUAUGCACGUCUUGACGGUACCUAAUCAGAAAGCCACGGCUAACUACGUG